UAUUGGACAAUGGGCGCAAGCCUGAUCCAGCAAUACCGCGUGUGUGAAGAAGGCCUUAGGGUUGUAAAGCACUUUCAAUUGGGAGGAAAACCUGCCGGUCAAUACCCGGUAGCUUGACGUUACCUUUAGAAGAAGCACCGGCUAACUCCGUGCCAGCAGCCGCGGUAAUACGGAGGGUGCGAGCGUUAAUCGGAAUUACUGGGCGUAAAGCGUGCGUAGGCGGUUCGUUAAGUCAGAUGUGAAAGCCCUGGGCUCAACCUGGGAACGGCAUUUGAAACUGGCGGACUAGAGUUUAGUAGAGGGGAGUGGAAUUUCAGGUGUAGCGGUGAAAUGCGUAGAUAUCUGAAGGAACACCAGUGGCGAAGGCGACUCCCUGGACUAGAACUGACGCUGAGUACGAAA
rnacentral:rRNA from 1 species